rnacentral:rRNA from 1 species
GCACCCGUGUUUACUGUAACCUUAGUUGCUUCGGCGGGCCGAAAAAAAGCCGCCGGGGGGCAUCAGCCCCCGGGCCCGCGCCCCCCGUUAGACACCACGAACUCUGUCUGAUCUAGUGAAGUCUGAGUUGAUUGUAUCGCAAUCAGUUAAAACUUUCAACAAUGGAUCUCUUGGUUCCGGCAUCGAUGAAGAACGCAGCGAAAUGCGAUAACUAGUGUGAAUUGCAGAAUUCCGUGAAUCAUCGAGUCUUUGAACGCACAUUGCGCCCCCUGGUAUUCCGGGGGGCAUGCCUGUCCGAGCGUCAUUGCUGCCCAUCAAGCACGGCUUGUGUGUUGGGUCGUCGUCCCCUCUUCGGGGGGGACGGGCCCCAAAGGCAGCGGCGGCACCGCGUCCGAUCCUCGAGCGUAUGGGGCUUUGUCACCCGCUCUGUAGGCCCGGCCGGCGCUUGCCGAACGCAAAACAACCAUUCUUUCCAGGUUGACCUCGGAUCAGGUAGGGAUACCCGCUGAACUUAAGCAUA